UAGGAAUUGCGGCCCAACCCUAAAUUAUUUUUAGAAAUAUAAUUCCUGUUGUUCCAAACAAAAAAAAAACCGCAAAAAUAUAAUAUAAUUAUAUUUUUGUUUUAAAUAAUGUUCCUUCAGCCGACUUCAAUAAAACUUGCUGAGCAAGACUCGUUUUGCCCAGGCGCACGUGCUUGAAUAUAUAAUUGGAGCAAAUCUUGACUCAGAUUUGAAAUAAAAAUUCUGCACGAAAACAGAG
rnacentral:lncRNA from 1 species